rnacentral:rRNA from 1 species
UACGAAGGGGGCUAGCGUUGCUCGGAAUCACUGGGCGUAAAGCGCACGUAGGCGGUUUGUUAAGUCAGGGGGGAAAUCCUGGAGCUCAACUCCAGAACUGCCUUUGAUACUGACGGUCUUGAGUUCGGGAGAGGUGAGUGGAACUGCGAGUGUAGAGGUGAAAUUCGUAGAUAUUCGCAAGAACACCAGUGGCGAAGGCGGCUCACUGGCCCGAUACUGACGCUGAGGUGCGAAAGCGUGGGGAGCAAACAGG